CCGGUCCCUGCUCUCCAGGAGCUCACGACCUAAUGAUGGAGACAACCUGAAAACAAGAGAGUACAAACAAACUACAGACGUGAUAAAUCAUCAGGAAGAAGACUCUCCUAGUAGAGGCAAUCUUCUGGAAGGGCUUGGCCAGAGGUCUUCUACCACUAGAUUGGCCCAUCACUUAACUGAGCUCACCACUGGACUAACACCAAGAGGUAUGACUUGAUCAACCAAUCCCAAGAUGGAUCCUGAGGCACAUUAUCUGCCUUUCAUGCAAUGAACAAAAGGCCUAUGAUUCUUUCAAAUUUCCCAAGGGCUUG
rnacentral:lncRNA from 1 species